rnacentral:pre_miRNA from 1 species
CUGCACUCCAGCCUGGGUGACAGAGCGAGACUCCGUCUCAAAAAAAGUCUACUAAAAAAAAUGUAGAAACAACUUUGGAAAUGGGUAACAGGAAGAGAUUAGAACAGUUUGGAGGGCUCAGAAGAAGUCAGGAAAAUGUCUUCCUGAUGUUGUUGUGAUAGUGAGUGAGUGCUCAUGAGAUCUGAUGGUUUUAUAAGGGAUUUUUUCCUCUUGGUUCUGCACUUCUCCUUCCUGCUGCCACAUGAAGAAGGACAUGCUUGCUUCCCAUUCCACCAUGAUUGUAAGUUUCCUGAGGCCUCCCCAGCCAUGCUGAACUGUAAGUCAAUUAAUCUUCUUUCCUUUACACAUUAGCCAGUCUUAAGUAUGUCUUUAUUAGCAGUGUGAGAAUGCACUAAUACAAUAUUAAAUGAGAAAAAGAAGCAAAGAGAACAUAAUAGUGCCAGGCCAAAUGAAAAUAUUUAUUAUCAUUAUUGUCAUCAGUAUUUUAACCAUUGUUUUAAAAACUAUAUUAAAAAAUACAAAUUAUGCUUUUUUAUAUUUAUGAUCCCUGAAAAUCUGAGAACCCAAACUAGGUACCGUUAAACCAACUUGAUUCUAAAAUUUCAAGUAGCUCUCAGAUUCUGUGACUAUACGUGACUUAAAGUGAAAAAAAAUUACUUAUGUCUUCUUCACAUCCAUACAAUCCCUCAUAUUUUGAUUAGGCAUAGCUGUCUAUAUGACAACCAUGGUUCAGUAAGAAGAUAAUCCAAAAAUGAUAGUCCCAGGAUAAGCCAAAUAAAUACAUAAACUCUAGUGAUUUUAUUUGUUUCUUUUCAUCAUCUCAGAGCCUAGCUGUGUCCAGCAUGUAGUUGGCAUCUAUAAAUAUUGAUUGAUUGAAUGAAGUAGCAUGGGCCUUCGGAGAUCUAGGAAGAAUGACAUAAGUUGCUUAAGGUUUCUCCAAAUGAACUAGUAUUUACAUGACUCCGGCACUUGUUCUAUUGCCUACAACAGGAAGAUUGAGAUGGGCCACUAUGAGCCAUGGAAAAAGAGGACUGAGAAUAAACCACAGAGAUUGCAAUGGAAG